CAUUUUGUCUUGCUAACACUGCUCAUCACAGGUUAAUCAGUGGUGUGCCAUUUACAGCGCUGGACCCUUUACGUCAAUUCUCUUUAUUCCUUAAAACAACGCAAUGGUUGUCCCCAUUGACAGAUGAGGAAACUGAGACUGCAUGUGAAGCAAAUUGCUCAUGGUCACACACCUUUGGGAUACAAAUCCCAAUCCUCUGACUCCAGAAAGAAGGCCUGUCUUCUUGCAUUAACUAUCAGAAAUGAGUAACAAAUCCACGCUCGUUCAGUCUUUUGAGCCACUGCUUAAGCUGUUUGCCUUUAGGUGACAAAUACCUCCACCAUCUCUGCUUACCCUUCCAGUUCUGGAAUAUUCCUCAAAGCCCUGGAGCCACCACAGAGGACCCAGAUUAUACCUACAAACAUCCAUGUCCCCCUUUCUAGCCAUGGCAUGGAACAGACUCUCUGUCACUUGUUCCAGCUUCUGAUCAGUCUCUGUGUCAGCCUAGAAGACUCCCUGCGCCCCAUCAUUGGGAAAGGAGGGAGGUACCACCCUGGUCUUAGAAUCACAGUGGGGGAAACGACCAGAGAGAGAGAGAUCUACUGAGGAGCAGAUACUCAGCCAAGCAGACAUGGGCCUUCAGAAAGAAAGAGGCCAAGAAAUAUUUGUUUACGUUAAAAAGAAAGCAUAAAAAAACAGAACUCAAGCUAGCAGAGGCCCUGGGAGAGCAGCUGGUCCAGCCCCUGCUCCUUGCCGCACAGAGAAGGCACAAGGCUAUGGCUGAGGCGGCCUAAUCUGGCCUGUGGGUCCGCUCCAGCAGUCAUCAUCUGGUUUUGUUAACAAGGAACUAUUUACAAAAACUGAGAAACCACACUCCAAGAUGGAAAACCAAGAUUUGGGCAAAUUAAAGCAUGGAAUAUCAAGCCUCAUUUUCAGAUUAGGAAACCGAGGCCUGGAAAGUUUAAGCAGCUUGCCGGCAGUUGACUGUCCACGCGUCCAGGAUCAGAUGAGUCCUGGCUCUGGCGGGCCCCUUGGAGAAGGUGAAGCCUUCCAUGGCCAUCAGUCCCUGAUGCUGGAUAUCAGACACCACAUCAGGAAACCAAGCCUCAGAGACGCGGAGUUAGGCUUCAGAUCCGGCAAGAGCAGACUGCGUCUGGGCAUCACACAUUCCGGCCUGAACCAGAAGGACGUGGAAACGCACACAAAACGUUGACCAUGACAUUCAGGAACUAAGUGACGUUGUUAAACGCUCCUUGGAACCCCUAGGGAAAAGCCAAGGUUCUUGAAGAAAUGUAUAAACCACGGAGAGACCCUUGCCAGAUGCCAGGUCUGUAAAGUUGGAAAUCUUGUCCAGAAAUAAAUAUAGAAACGAAG
rnacentral:lncRNA from 1 species